rnacentral:rRNA from 1 species
UACGUAGGGUGCGAGCGUUGUCCGGAAUUAUUGGGCGUAAAGGGCUCGUAGGCGGUUUGUCGCGUCGGGAGUGAAAACUUCAGGGCUUAACUCUGAGCCUGCUUCCGAUACGGGCAGACUAGAGGUAUGCAGGGGAGAACGGAAUUCCUGGUGUAGCGGUGAAAUGCGCAGAUAUCAGGAGGAACACCGGUGGCGAAGGCGGGUCUCUGGGCCGGUACUGACGCUGAGACGCGAAAGCGUGGGGAGCGAACAGG